rnacentral:rRNA from 1 species
GACGAACGCUGGCGGCGUGCUUAACACAUGCAAGUCGAGCGGUAAGGCCCUUCGGGGUACACGAGCGGCGAACGGGUGAGUAACACGUGGGUGACCUGCCCUCCACUCUGGGAUAAGCCUGGGAAACCGGGUCUAAUACCGGAUAUGACCUCCGCAUGCAUGUGCGGUGGUGGAAAGGUCUGGCGGUGGGGGAUGGGCCCGCGGUCUAUCAGCUUGUUGGUGGGGUGAUGGCCUACCAAGGCGACGGCGGAUAGCCGGCCUGGGAGGGCGAUCGGCCACAUGAGGAAUGGGACACGGUCCUGAGUGCUGCAGGAGUGGGGAAUGGUGAAUCAUGGGCGAUGGGCGGAAGCAGGCCGCCGGAGCGCCGCAUGAGGGAUGACGGCUUGCGAGGUGUAAACGUCGGUCGCGAACGACGAAGCGCUUACUUCUGGUACGGGUGACGGUAGGGCGAGAAGAAGCACCGGCCACUACGUG